rnacentral:misc_RNA from 1 species
ACGAGUUAGGGCCUCUGGCCCGAACCUCCAACCCUUUAUAUCAAAACCUCGUUGCCUCGGGGAGGCCCUGCCUCACGGCUGGCCCCCCGAUGGACCACUAAACUCUGCAUCUGUAUGACGUCUGAGUAAAGAUUUUAAAUUAAAUCA